UGACCCUUCACGGUCGUGUGUCUUUGCCAUCAAUAGGAGUGGGCUCCAGACGCAAGCCGGGCCAUCCAUCGUAAGGAGAAGAGUAGCCGGGGGGGAGAGGAAGUGACCCUCACCAGCAUCAUCCCGUCCGCUGAGACUGUGUUGCACUCUUCGCCAGGAGACAGUGGAGUUAAAGAUUACUCAUCCGAUUGGUCAGAUGACGACAGCCCGAGGAAGUAUGUGUCGACUCUGUGCUCGGAGGAUGAGGUGAAGGUAGCUGUGGUCCGGGUUCGAGCACUGUAUGAUUACACAGGGCAGGAGGCUGAUGAGCUAAGCUUCUUGGCAGGUGAAGAGUUAAUGAAGAUUGGUGAAGAGGAUGAGCAGGGCUGGUGUAAGGGUCAACUGGAUAAUGGACAAUUAGGACUCUAUCCUGCCAACUACGCAGUCCUCGUGAGCUCCUGACAAACUCUUCACAAGACCACCAGCACUGUGCGGCUCUCAACCCUCGCCUUCUUGCCAUUUGCUGCUGCUUUCUCUGUUUAAUGCUUUUUCCCCUGCCAUAGCCUAUUUUCUCCUCUGAAUGAAGGAUUAGACGGAUAUGCUACAAUAAGAACCUGGGUUUAUUAAUCACGGGGCUGGCUCAUUCGACUUGUAUUGUCCUUUGUUCUGUUUUGGUCUUGGCUGACCAGUUGCCUGAGUUAGAGAAUAGAAGCUUCUGGAAUGGAACUGAGCAGUAUUUAUCCUCAAUGGGUAGUUCAGAUUGCACACUCUUCAACUUGUGACUGUGUUUGAGUCUCUGAAUAGGUGAAGGAACCUGAAAUGGAUCUGCUGUCGAGCAUCUCAAUAUCUGAAGGAGUUGCAGGAUCUGAGAUCUCCAUCGACAAGACUGUGUUUUGUCAGUUGCUGGGGAUUCAAACACAGUCACGGGACAGGAGAUGUUUGGAGAUAGAUGCAAUGAGUAUUUUUUGCCAAAUGGAAAGCAGGAGACUUUUCAAGCCUGAUGUAGGAAGCGGUUGCAUUUUAAUUAAUCUCCUAUGUGUCUGGCAGGAGUUGGUGUGAAAUAAACAGGUAUUGCAGAUUGUA